GGAAGGGAAGUUCAUCCGGUGGUGGAUACGGCCUUCAAAGCCGUAAGGGGCUGCGAGACAGUCUUUGGUGGGUUCGACACCCACUCCCUUCCGCCA
rnacentral:tRNA from 2 species